AUAUAUGGGAAAUAGGAAGGGUUGCAUCUAGUUUUUUUUUGUGUGCUACAGCUGGCAGAUUAAACAGUUUUAUGUAAGAAGGUGGAGAGGUGGCAGGGGAAAAACUUGGCCUGCUUUCCCCAAGAAAAUAUUUCUUUUGCAAUUAAUCUGAAGGAGUGGGAUGCUCAUCUGCCAAUCCGAAGGAGUGGGAUGCUCAUCUGCCAUCAUCCAAAAGCUUCUCAAGCUCUGGCUUGGGAAAGGAAGGUUCACGAAUAAAUGUGACUUUGAACAGCCAGUGCACACAGCUCCUGAGGCUGCUGUCAGGGCUAAAUCCAUACCGUAGAUCCAAAAUGAAAAUGUACUACCAGGUAUUCAUCCAAGCAGAGGAAGCACCUGCCAGACCAUUCCACAUAUGGAUUUGGGCUAGCCAGAGCAGAUAUCACCUCCUGGAGACCCUCCAAGCUAAACCAAUGCCAGGCUUGAUAUUACACAUUCGUCCAAUCUUACUUCUUUGUGGCUUCUACAACUUCUGAUCUUGCUUAUAUCUUUUGAGAUAUAUUUCUGCUUUUUACACUAUGAGCGGAAUAUUCGUCUCCAGAAGAACCUGACAUUGUUGAUUCAGACACAAUAUGUGAUCCACUGAAGUCUGAAGAUCUUUAUAAAGACCUUACUUUCUGAUAUUUACCAUCAUAAUGAAUUUGUAUAACUGAUGUUUUCUUUACUGUCUUGCCCUUUCUCUUAACCUUGCCCCCAUUCCUCUUCUACCUUGAAUUACUGUGUUUCCAGUCCAUGUCUGCAGAGUUUUAUUUUUACUGCUAUCCUCCAGCACAUUUGGGGUCCUUCCUAGCAUUGUGUCAGAUACAAAACUAAUGAGCAUUUUGACUAUUCCACCAUCUGUUUUGCUAAUGAAAACCUUGAACAGAAGCAGAUCUAAGGCAGACACCCCCCCCCCCCCCCCCCACAGAGCCCUGAGCAUAAUUAGAUUUUUAUUAAUUUCUCUGUGGUGUGGUUUUGUGCCCACAGAUUAAAGGCUAUGUUUUUCUUACUUCAGACAUGAGAAUAUCAACAGAGACUGAGUCAAAAACUUUGCUCAAGUAAAGGUACAUGUGUUCCUCUUCUCCUCAUCUGUCCACAGGACCUAUUACCCCAUCAUUGAAAGAGUGAAUUGUUUUGCUCUGAUUUAUUCUUGGCAAGUCUAGGUUGGCUUCUGGUUCUCUCCCUGUUGUUUUCUAGGUUCUGAAAACUGCUCCAGACUUAUUAUGUGAAUUGAAAUUAAACUGAUUGAUCUAAUUCAGUCAUCUUUUCCUUUUAUUUGUACUCUUCAGAUGAAUAGGCACUAAUCUUCUUCUACUUAAUAAAAAUCACAAUAGAUGGACUUUAAUGUCUUCACAGGCAGAGAAAUAUGCACUUAACACCAAAACUAGGUAUCUAUCACACUAGUAUUUAAAUUGUGGUAAUGUAAAAGCAUUUGAUUAUUUCAUCUCCUUUACACCUUGAAAAUGCUAAUAGGAAUAUAACUUUAAUGAUAUCUUGAAAGCUUUUGAGAUCUUUCUUUUAUGGUCAUUCUCAAGUAGAAAUUUUGAUUUUGGCCUUGGACUUGGAUAAGUGUCUCAAUUCUGUGUCUUCAUCAGGGAUAUUGUACAAGAAUGUUUUACAGGUGUAAAGAGUCCAAGAUUUUGGAGACGCACAAUGAAAACUUUAAACUCUAGAUUUUCAGCUUUAUCUUUACGAUAGGAACAGAAGAUGCGAUCCACACAGUCUAAGUUUGGCAAUAGAAGAGUUAGUUGCCUGGACUACAGUAACUAUGCAGGCUCUCCUUCUGGGCAAUGGAAACAAGCUGACAACUCCUUCCUAAAAGUGGUACAAAGCAGAUGAGAUCUCUUUUCCAUUUUCUCUCAUUGGCACUAACAUGCGUAGUGCAGAUAGAUUUUUCCAGCUGCUUUAGGGAGAUGCUGAGGAAAGCAGGUGAUGUGUCCCACUGCAAAAAUUGAUGCUCCUUAGUGGAAUUGCUGCUGCUGUUAUCUCAAGUGUGUGAAUCCUCAAGUUACAAUGACGUCCCUGAUGGACCAGCCUAGGACUCUGUAAACAGGCCAGUAAAAUAAGCAAUUUUCUUGCUCUUCAUGGUAGCCUGACAUGUCAGAGUUCAGGCACACUAAUAACUGAAUUUCUGUUGCUCUGUUAUAUGUUAGUUCAGUAUAUAAGUAAAGAAAUUGCAUUAUGGAGACUGUUUAUUGGGAUGGGUGAAAUAUGUGUCUUAUUUCUUCUGUAAUGAAGAAGAUGGUGUACUAAAGAAAAAAAAAAAAAGAACUUCAAAUGGUGUUUACCAAUACUGGUCAUACAGACAGAAUUUGUUCAGAUCAGAAGAGAGCCCAGCAUGUCUCUAGACCAAUCUCCUGCGCAAAGCAGGUGGGGUCUACAAUUAGUUGAAACCCUGAAGAUUUAAAAGAGAAAGACACAAUGCAAUGGGACAAAUCCUUAAUAUUUCUGGAGAGAAGUCAAUAUAUAGAAAAUGGGAGCCAAAAAAAAGCUUUCUUUCUGGUCAGAGAGUUCUGUACCUGUUAUUUUAGGAACAUUAAUAAAAAUUAAUUAAAAAAAAAAGAAAAGCCCACAAUUUAUGCAUACAAAAAUUAAUUUGGAAUUAUUUUCAGAUUUGAGAAACAGUUAGGUACAUGAUUAUUCAAAAAGAACUUUGUUUAUUGGUCUGAAUUUUAAUGCAACUAAUUGUUUCAGAACUUACUUUCCUUCAGGUAUAAAUAAGCUGAAAACAAUGCACAAAUUUAAUUUGGGGAUCCCUAAAAUAUUUCAGGCAAAUGCAAAAUAAAAAUUAGUUAUACUUGUUUGAUCUUUGUUCCUUUUUUUUUCCCCUUCCCCCUAAGAAUAUUGCUUUGCUUGUUCUGGCCUGAAUUUUUAAUCCCUUUAUCUUUUGGCGUUCAGGCAUAAACCAAAACUGCACUGAUUAUUCAAUUUUAACUAGAGUCAUGAGCCAGUCAGAAAAAGAAUCUUGGCCUAGAUCAGCAAUGAGAGGUGUAUAAAUUAGGGUCCCAAUCAAAGCGGUGUCAGCUCCUCAUGAUAUUUCAGACUUACAUGAACUCACUGACUCUUUUCAUUCCAUUAUUGGUUCCAUGACUUUUUAGAAGAUUAGUCAAUUAACCAAAAUUAAUGAUGAAGCAACUUUCUUCAGCAGAACCACCUUUUUUCUUGACACAUAGUGUUGUCUGUUUACACAGAAUUGCAACACUAAGUAAAAUGAAAAUCAAGCACUUUUUUUUCCAGAAAUAAAUGCUUUUUUUGCCAGACUUCUACAUUCUGACACUGAGAGUCACAUGUGCAUUAAAUGAGUCCAUUAAAACUAUUUUGGUGAUGCCUGCAUCAUCAGCUCACUUUUCAGGUCUGUGUUGUGCAAGGUACAGUAUGCUGUUUCUAAACAAUCCUCUUUUUAAAUUGCACAUGUAAAUAUAUAUGUGCAUAUGUAUGUGUGUGUAUAUAUAUAUAUAUACUUGACAUUUAAGCUACAUUGCUUUGAACUAAAUCAGCUGACAGACCUUUAGCACAGCACUGGUUAACUGAUUCAUAUCCAGUAAAGCGGCACCUCUGUUAGUGGCACAAUGCAUCUUCUGCCUCAUCAGGUCAAACAGCUACUAAGAGAAAAGAACUUCAGUAGGACAAAUUCUGUUUUCACUGAUGUGAAUGUAAAUUUUACAUCACUGAGUGAGAAUUAUUGGAGCUCUGCAUCAGGUUGUUACUACUAAUGCUGCAGGAGAUCACUUCAUGAUAGCACUGUGUGCAGCCUCUGGAGGAAAAUAAAACUGCUAAUGCAAUUGUCAUCAUAGUAAAUUGUAAACUGCAAAAUCUUUCUCUCUUUCAUAUUAUCUACAGAAAAUUAAGUAGGAGAAAGUCAUUAUUUUUUUGCUUGCAAAACAACAUGGAGAUAGAAGUCAUGAUUACUCUGGGUAAACAGAAAUCAUAUACUAGAUUAAUGCCAUCAUUUUCUGUGGAUCUAUUUUUCUGGGUUUGUAUAACCUGAUAUGCUAGAAAGAUUUUGGACCACAAAAGAACAUGUAUAAUUGCCUUUCGUCAAGUCCUUUGGGUCUGAAAAUUUUUGAUAUUAAUCUUUCAAAUAUCUAACUGCAAUUUUGUCAUUUUCAAUACCUGAAAAGAAUGGAAAUAUAUAAAAUUUUGUUAUGGAAACAAAAUAUCUUCUUUCUUUAAAGGAUUUUAUUGUCUUUUUGUAUUUGGUUCAGAAUGAAUGGAAAAGGACUCCCCAUGCUCAAGUAAGAGAUGUGCCACUUCCAAGCACCUAAGGGAGACACUACAUUCUCUAUAUUUCAUGUGCUGAUAGCACUGUUCCAACAUUGUUUCAACCACUAGACUUCAUCCAGGAUGAUGCUGCAGCUCCAGGGAUGACCCAACAUGAUUUCAGCUGGCUACAUAUUUGAUUCAGGGAAAGGAAGGAAUCAGCCACAGAGGGCAGAUUUUCCAAGCUGGGGAAGUACAUCAGGAUGCCGUGGCAGGAGGGAGGGACUGUGCUUCACCGAGAUGUCUGCCCUUCCCAAACUGUUGUCUCCAUGUGAAUGAGAAGCUUAAGAAACUUUGAAGGGGGCCUUUUUAAAAGCCAGAUUUGUGGUGGGUAAAGCUUUCUGAAAAGCAAAAACAUUAAGGAAAACUUUAUAGAAAAGAAAUCUAACCAAAUAAUAACAAAAAGACAGGCUCAGAAUUCUUUUUCUUGUUAUUUUUUCCAGUUCUUAUUCCUCACCUUGUUAUCACAAAUCAGCACAGAAGUUAGGUUUAUUGUGAUAACACAAACAGGCAGACUAUGAACACAAAUGUGGAAAUAAGGGAAAAAUGGGAUAUCUCGACGCUGCCUGUCCAUCUCAACUAUACCUCUUACUUGUGUAAAUCCCCUAAAUCCUUUAUUUUAUUAAGGUAUUUUAGCAUUGCUAUGUAUAUAGAAAAUUUAUUUUAGCCUUAAAAGCCUAUCUAACGAAUAUCUUUAUCUUUUUUUAAGGACUCUAUUACCUAAUGAUCAAUCUUAGAUAUUUUGCAGGGGGUCUGAAACAUUAAUCUUGAAAUCAUAUGAACUUCAGCUCAUCUUUGGAAGAGAAUGAGAAAUAGAAAGAAGAAGAAAAC